UACGAAGGGGGCUAGCGUUGCUCGGAAUCACUGGGCGUAAAGGGUGCGUAGGUGGAUAUUUAAGUCAGGGGUGAAAUCCUGGAGCUCAACUCCAGAACUGCCUUUGAUACUGAGUAUCUUGAGUUCGGGAGAGGUAAGUGGAACUGCGAGUGUAGAGGUGAAAUUCGUAGAUAUUCGCAAGAACACCAGUGGCGAAGGCGGCUUACUGGCCCGAUACUGACACUGAGGCACGAAAGCGUGGGGAGCAAACAGG
rnacentral:rRNA from 1 species